rnacentral:rRNA from 1 species
AUUGAACGCUGGCGGCAUGCCUAACACAUGCAAGUCGAACGAGUGGCGGAAGGGUGAGUAAUGUCGGGGAAACUGCCUGAUGGAGGGGGCUAACUACUGGAAACGGUAGCUAAUACUGCAUACCAUCAGAUGUGCCCAUAGGGGAUUAGCUAGGUGGUGGGGUAACGGCUCACCAAGGCGACGAUCCCUAGCCGGUCUGAGAGGAGGACCAGCCACACUGGGACUGAGACACGGUCCAGACUCCUACGGGAGGCAGCAGUGGGGAAUAUUGGACAAUGGGCGCAAGCCUGAUGCAGCCAUGCCGCGUGUGUGAAGAAGGCCUUCGGGUUGUAAAGUACUUUCAGCGGGGAGGCGUUACCCGCAGAAGAAGCACCGGCUAACUCCGUGCCAGCAGCCGCGGUAAUAC